rnacentral:rRNA from 1 species
AAUUUUGGACAAUGGGGGAAACCCUGAUCCAGCCAUCCCGCGUGUAUGAUGAAGUCCUUCGGGUUGUACAGCAUUUUUGGCAGGGCAGAAAACGCUCUGGUUAAUACCUGGAGCUGCUGAAGGUACCUGCAGACUAAGCACCGGCUAACUACGUUCCAGCAGCCGAGGUAAGACGUAGGGUGCAAGCGUUAAUCGGAAUUACUGGGCGUAAAGCGUGCGCAGGCGGUUUGGCAAGAAGGAUGUGAAAUCCCAGGGCUUAACCUUGGAACUGCAUUCUUAACUGCCAGGCUAGAGUAUGUCAGAGGGGGGUAGAAUUCCGCGUGUAGCAGUGAAAUGCGUAGAUAUGUGGAGGAAUACCGAUGGCGAAGGCAGCCCCCUGGGAUAAUACUGACGCUCAGACACGAAAGCGUGGGGAGCAAACA